UAUCAAUCAUUUAUUUUCGAGUGA
rnacentral:siRNA from 1 species